GGAGGAAAGCAGGGGAUCGCAAGACCUUGCGCUAAAGGAGCGGCCGAUGUCUGAUUAGCUAGUUGGUGGGGUAAAGGCUUACCAAGGCAACGAUCAGUAGUUGGUCUGAGAGGACGGCCAACCACACUGGGACUGAGACACGGCCCAGACUCCUACGGGAGGCAGCAGUGGGGAAUUUUGGACAAUGGGCGAAAGCCUGAUCCAGCCAUGCCGCGUGAGUGAAGAAGGCCUUCGGGUUGUAAAGCUCUUUUAGUCGGAAAGAAAGAGUUGCAAUGAAUAAUUGUGAUUUAUGACGGUACCGACAGAAAAAGCACCGGCUAACUACGUGCCAGCAGCCGCGGUAAUACGUAGGGUGCGAGCGUUAAUCGGAAUUACUGGGCGUAAAGGGUGCGCAGGCGGUCUUGCAAGUCAGAUGUGAAAGCCCCGGGCUUAACCUGGGAAUUGCGUUUGAAACUACAAGGCUAG
rnacentral:rRNA from 2 species